rnacentral:rRNA from 1 species
UACAGAGGUCCCAAGCGUUGUUCGGAUUCACUGGGCGUAAAGGGUGCGUAGGUGGCCAGGUAAGUUUGGUGUGAAAGCUCGGAGCUUAACUCCGAAAAGUCAUUGAAUACUAUCUGGCUGGAGGGUCGGAGGGGAGACUGGAAUUCUCGGUGUAGCAGUGAAAUGCGUAGAUAUCGAGAGGAACACCAGUGGCGAAGGCGAGUCUCGUGGACGACUCCAUGACAGCUGAGGCACGAAAGCUAGGGGAGCAAACAGGAUUAG